rnacentral:rRNA from 1 species
AGAAUCAACGCUGGCGGCGUGCCUAACACAUGCAAGUCGCACGAGAAAGGGGCUUCGGCUCUGAGUAAAGUGGCGCACGGGUGAGUAACACGUGAAUUAUCUACCUCCGAGUGGGGAAUAACUGAGAGAAAUCUUAGCUAAUACCGCAUAACACUUACGGGUCAAAGCAGCAAUGCGCUUGGAGAGGAGUUCGCGGCCGAUUAGUUAGUUGGCGGGGUAAUGGCCCACCAAGACGAUGAUCGGUAUCCGGCCUGAGAGGGCGCACGGACACACUGGAACUGAAACACGGUCCAGACUCCUACGGGAGGCAGCAGUGGGGAAUUUUGCGCAAUGGGGGAACCCUGACGCAGCAACGCCGCGUGGAGGAUGAAAUCCCUUGGGAUGUAAACUCCUUUCGAUAGGGAAGAUUAUGACGGUACCUAUAGAAGAAGCCCCGGCUAACUUCGCGCCAGCAGCCGC